rnacentral:rRNA from 1 species
UACGAAGGGGCUAGCGUUGCUCGGAAUCACUGGGCGUAAAGCGCACGUAGGCGGCUUCUAAGUCAGGGGUGAAAUCCUGGAGCUCAACUCCAGAACUGCCUUUGAUACUGGAGUGCUGAGUCCGGGAGAGGUGAGUGGAACUGCGAGUGUAGAGGUGAAAUUCGUAGAUAUUCGCAAGAACACCAGUGGCGAAGGCGGCUCACUGGCCCGGUACUGGACGCUGAGAUACGAAAG